GUUUCUGUAGUUCAAUGGAUAGAACAAGGGACUCCUAAGCCCUAGAUCGUGGUUCGACUCCACGCAGAAACACCA
rnacentral:tRNA from 1 species